AAGCCAGACUCCUACGGGAGGCAGCAGUGGGGGAUAUUGCACAAUGGGGGGAACCCUGAUGCAGCGACGCCGCGUGGGUGAAGGAGUAUUUCGGUAUGUAAAGCACUAUCGGCAGGGAAGAAGCAAGACGGUACCUGACUAAGAAGCCCCGGCUAACUACGUGCCAGCAGCCGCGGUAAUACGUAGGGGGCGAGCGUGAUCCGGAUUCACUGGGUGUAAAGGGAGCGUAGACGGCCAAGCAAGCCAGGGGUGAAAGCCCGGGGCCCAACCCCGGGACUGCCCUUGGAACUGCUUGGCUGGAGUGCGGGAGGGGCAGGCGGAAUUCCUGGUGUAGCGGCGAAAUGCGUAGAUAUCAGGAGGAACACCGGCGGCGAAGGCGGCCUGCUGGACUGCAACUGACGUUGAGGCCCGAAAGCGUGGGGAGCAAACAGGAUUAGAUACCCCCGUAUU
rnacentral:rRNA from 1 species